rnacentral:tRNA from 1 species
AAAAACUAGUUAAAAUUUUAUAACACUAGAAUGUCAAUCUAAAAUUACUUAUUUGUGUUUUUC